rnacentral:rRNA from 1 species
AGAGCGAACGCUGGCGGCAGGCUUAACACAUGCAAGUCGAGCGGGCGUAGCAAUACGUCAGCGGCAGACGGGUGAGUAACGCGUGGGAACAUACCUUUUGGUUCGGAACAACACAGGGAAACUUGUGCUAAUACCGGAUAAGCCCUUACGGGGAAAGAUUUAUCGCCGAAAGAUUGGCCCGCGUCUGAUUAGCUAGUUGGUGAGGUAACGGCCCACAAGGCGACGAUCAGUAGCUGGUCUGAGAGGAUGAUCAGCCACAUUGGGACUGAGACACGGCCCAAACUCCUACGGGAGGCAGCAGUGGGGAAUAUUGGACAAUGGGCGCAAGCCUGAUCCAGCCAUGCCGCGUGAGUGAUGAAGGCCCUAGGGUUGUAAAGCUCUUUUGUGCGGAAGAUAAUGACGGUACCGCAAGAAUAAGCCCCGGCUAACUUCGUGCCAGCAGCCGC